UGGAGUAACACGUGGAUAACCUACCUAUAAGACUGGGAUAACUUCGGGAAACCGGAGCUAAUACCGGAUAAUAUUUUGAACCGCAUGGUUCAAAAGUGAAAGACGGUCUUGCUGUCACUUAUAGAUGGAUCCGCGCUGCAUUAGCUAGUUGGUAAGGUAACGGCUUACCAAGGCAACGAUGCAUAGCCGACCUGAGAGGGUGAUCGGCCACACUGGAACUGAGACACGGUCCAG
rnacentral:rRNA from 1 species